UAAUGCAAAUGAAAAGAGGAGUUGCGCAAACAACUCCCCUUAGGAUAGCACCGUUUAAGUCGGUGGCAUAGUUGAAUCAGUUACAAAGAA
rfam:Enterococcus mundtii QT 25 plasmid pQY182 DNA, complete genome.